rnacentral:misc_RNA from 1 species
AACCAUUCUCACCUGCGGCUAGACCUGCGGAGGGAUCAUUACCGAGUUUACAACUCCCAAACCCCUGUGAACAUACCACUUGUUGCCUCGGCGGAUCAGCCCGCUCCCGGUAAAACGGGACGGCCCGCCAGAGGACCCCUAAACUCUGUUUCUAUAUGUAACUUCUGAGUAAAACCAUAAAUAAAUCAAAACUUUCAACAAUGGAUCU